CACAGAUGAACUUUUCCAAGGAGAAGUGUAUAAUGGUUACUAGGUCUUCAGGGAAACAGUUCCACUGCUGGCCGAAGUUAUCUAUUGUGGGAAUGGAUUUGUGAUGGAAGUUCGAUGUUUGGAAGGUGCUGAAACUAACCCGGGGUCGAACCUUGUUGUACGACGAGCUAUGGCGGUUGCGGUGGUUAGACGGAAUAGCAAUUACCCAGUGGUUGUUGAGGAGCCCAGUUACCGCCGAUAGGAGACUGGAGCAGACGUUGGUAAGGUGCUUCGAUGGAUGUUAGCCGAAAAUGGUAGGCAGAGAGAUCUGGGUGCAAGGAACACGAACCGCACCGAUCUCGUAUUGGGCUGCCUCACCUUCAGCCGAUGAAUACUGGACAACGAAUCUUGGGUGGUCGAAACGAUGUGGCUUGAAAAUCUCACCGACAGCGAGAUUCGAUUACAGGAGAAGCAAGGGGCAUCGUUCGAGUCAAUUGGGAAAUCAGAAGGUAGGGCUAGAAAUUCUAAGGGAAAUCUGAGGACAACAAUUGCUAAAGGAGGGCAAAAAUGGGAGAACACGACUCAACAGCAUUGUUCCCAAAUUGGCAAUCUGACAGAAUUUUGGUGCUAGGCCUUUGAUGUCUUGUCAACAUUGUAGAAAAAUGAGUUUUG
rnacentral:lncRNA from 1 species